GCUAUACAUGCAGUCGAGCGAACAGACGAGGAGCUUGCUCCUCUGACGUUAGCGGCGGACGGGUGAGUAACACGUGGAUAACCUACCUAUAAGACUGGGAUAACUUCGGGAAACCGGAGCUAAUACCGGAUAACAUGUUGAACCGCAUGGUUCAACAGUGAAAGACGGUCUUGCUGUCACUUAUAGAUGGAUCCGCGCCGCAUUAGCUAGUUGGUAAGGUAACGGCUUACCAAGGCAACGAUGCGUAGCCGACCUGAGAGGGUGAUCGGCCACACUGGAACUGAGACACGGUCCAGACUCCUACGGGAGGCAGCAGUAGGGAAUCUUCCGCAAUGGGCGAAAGCCUGACGGAGCAACGCCGCGUGAGUGAUGAAGGUCUUCGGAUCGUAAAACUCUGUUAUUAGGGAAGAACAAAUGUGUAAGUAACUAUGCACGUCUUGACGGUACCUAAUCAGAAAGCCACGGCUAACUACGUGCCAGCAGCCGCGGUAAUACGUAGGUGGCAAGCGUUAUCCGGAAUUAUUGGGCGUAAAGCGCGCGUAGGCGGUUUUUUAAGUCUGAUGUGAAAGCCCACGGCUCAACCGUGGAGGGUCAUUGGAAACUGGAAAACUUGAGUGCAGAAGAGGAAAGUGGAAUUCCAUGUGUAGCGGUGAAAUGCGCAGAGAUAUGGAGGAACAUCAGUGGCGAAGGCGACUUUCUGGUCUGUAACUGACGCUGAUGUGCGAAAGCGUGGGGAUCAAACAGGAUUAGAUACCCUGGUAGUCCACGCCGUAAACGAUGAGUGCUAAGUGUUAGG
rnacentral:rRNA from 1 species